rnacentral:rRNA from 1 species
AGAGUUUGAUCAUGGCUCAGGAUGAACGCUGGCGGCGUGCCUAAUACAUGCAAGUCGAACGCGAGCACUUGUGCUCGAGUGGCGAACGGGUGAGUAAUACAUAAGUAACCUGCCCUAGACAGGGGGAUAACUAUUGGAAACGAUAGCUAAGACCGCAUAGGUACGGACACUGCAUGGUGACCGUAUUAAAAGUGCCUCAAAGCACUGGUAGAGGAUGGACUUAUGGCGCAUUAGCUGGUUGGCGGGGUAACGGCCCACCAAGGCGACGAUGCGUAGCCGACCUGAGAGGGUGACCGGCCACACUGGGACUGAGACACGGCCCAGACUCCUACGGGAGGCAGCAGUAGGGAAUUUUCGGCAAUGGGGGAAACCCUGACCGAGCAACGCCGCGUGAAGGAAGAAGGUUUUCGGAUUGUAAACUUCUGUUAUAAAGGAAGAACGGCGGCUACAGGAAAUGGUAGCCGAGUGACGGUACUUUAUUAGAAAGCCACGGCUAACUACGUGCCAGCAGCCGCGGUAAUUC